UUACUUACCUAGUGGGAGAGGUACCAUGAUCACAAAGGUGGUUUUCCCAGGGUGAGGCUUAUCCAUUGCACUAUGGAUGUGCUGACCCCUGUGAUUUCCCCAAAUGUGGGAGACUCGACUGCGUAAUUUGUACUAGUGGGGGACUGCGUUCACACUCUCUCUUA